AAUAUUGGACAAUGGGGGCAACCUUGAUCAAGCCAUGCCGCGUGUGUGAAAAAGGUCUUCGGAUUGUAAAGUACUUUACGUGGGGAGGAAGGGCUUUAGGUUAAUACCCUGAAGAAUUGACGGUACCAACCGAAUCAGCACCGGCGAACCCUCUGCCGGCAGCCGCGGUAAUACAGAGGGUGCAAGCGUUAAUGGGAUUUACUGGGCGUAAAGCGCGCGUAGGUGGUUCAGUAAGAUGGGUGUGAAAUCCCCGGGCUUAACCUGGGAACUGCUUUCAUAACUGCUGAGCUAGAGUACGGUAGAGGGUAGUGGAAUUUCCUGUGUAGCGGUGAGAUGCGUAGAUAUAGGAAGGAACACCAGUGGCGAAGGCGACUACCUGGACUGAUACUGACACUGAGGUGCGAAAGCGUGGGGAGCAAACA
rnacentral:rRNA from 1 species